CCCGACUGCUAUCAGAGUGGGACUAAGCCAUGCGAGUCAACGCCGCAAGGCGUGGCAUACGGCUCAGUAACACGUAGUCAACAUGCCCAAAGGACGUGGAUAACCUCGGGAAACUGAGGAUAAACCGCGAUAGGCCAAGGUUUCUGGAAUGAGCCAUGGCCGAAAUCUAUAUGGCCUUUGGAUUGGACUGCGGCCGAUCAGGCUGUUGGUGAGGUAAUGGCCCACCAAACCUGUAACCGGUACGGGCUUUGAGAGAAGGAGCCCGGAGAUGGGCACUGAGACAAGGGCCCAGGCCCUAUGGGGCGCAGCAGGCGCGAAACCUCUGCAAUAGGCGAAAGCUUGACAGGGUUACUCUGAGUGAUGCCCGCUAAGGGUAUCUUUUGGCACCUCUAAAAAUGGUGCAGAAUAAGGGGUGGGCAAGUCUGGUGUCAGCCGCCGCGGUAAUACCAGCACCCCGAGUUGUCGGGACGAUUAUUGGGCCUAAAGCAUCCGUAGCCUGUUCUGCAAGUCCUCCGUUAAAUCCACCUGCUUAACGGAUGGGCUGCGGGGGAUACUGCAGAGCUAGGAGGCGGGAGAGGCAAACGGUACUCAGUGGGUAGGGGUAAAAUCCUUUGAUCUACUGAAGACCACCAGUGGCGAAGGCGGUUUGCCAGAACGCGCUCGACGGUGAGGGAUGAAAGCUGGGGGAGCAAACCGGAUUAGAUACCCGGGUAGUCCCAGCUGUAAACGAUGCAGACUCGGUGAUGGGUUGGCCUCGAGCCAACCCAGUGCCGCAGGGAAGCCGUUAAGUCUGCCGCCUGGGGAGUACGGUCGCAAGACUGAAACUUAAAGGAAUUGGCGGGGGAGCACCACAAGGGGUGAAGCCUGCGGUUC
rnacentral:rRNA from 1 species